rnacentral:rRNA from 1 species
CGACUUACCAACCCGAUGCAAACUGCGAAUACCGGAGAAUGUUAUCACGGGAGACACACGGCGGGUGCUAACGUCCGUCGUGAAGAGGGAAACAACCCAGACCGCCAGCUAAGGUCCCAAAGUCAUGGUUAAGUGGGAAACGAUGUGGGAAGGCCCAGACAGCCAGGAUGUUGGCUUAGAAGCAGCCAUCAUUUAAAGAAAGCGUAAUAGCUCACUGGUCGAGUCGGCCUGCGCGGAAGAUGUAACGGGGCUAAACCAUGCACCGAAGCUGCGGCAGCGACGCUUAUGCGUUGUUGGGUAGGGGAGCGUUCUGUAAGCCUGUGAAGGUGUACUGUGAGGUAUGCUGGAGGUAUCAGAAGUGCGAAUGCUGACAUAAGUAACGAUAAAGCGGGUGAAAAGCCCGCUCGCCGGAAGACCAAGGGUUCCUGUCCAACGUUAAUCGGGGCAGGGUGAGUCGACCCCUAAGGCGAGGCCGAAAGGCGUAGUCGAUGGGAAACAGGUUAAUAUUCCUGUACUUGGUGUUACUGCGAAGGGGGGACGGAGAAGGCUAUGUUGGCCGGGCGACGGUUGUCCCGGUUUAAGCGUGUAGGCUGGUUUUCCAGGCAAAUCCGGAAAAUCAA